rnacentral:lncRNA from 1 species
AUGAGAUUCAAUGAACAUACAAUUAAUGAAUAUAAGCAAACGUUACAACAUAAUUACACACAAAUUAUUAGUAUAAGAGCAAAGUAUAAGGUAAAUACACAAAAGAUGAUAUAUAAUAAUCUAUAAAAGCAAUAUUUAAAGUAUAACUGCAGUGACACAUCAUGUAUUGACACAUCUAAUAACACUGUCUAAGAGAUCGACUAUAUUCUGCUACACACUGAAUAACAUGUGCAUGACACAGCUUGAGAAAUUGAACCGAUUCAUCUAUGCUUGAAAAAAUUGUCAGUGGUUUUCGACCGAGUAACAUUUGAAACAGGAUUUCGUCGUCAUACAUGUUUAAUUCACAGUAAAGCUGCACUGGAAAAUUGUCACUUAAAAUGUCCCACCAGACUUCUCGCUGUGCAUUAGUACUUGGACAAUUGCAACAAGCGUGUACAUAAACAUCUUUAAAAUUCCUUGUACAUAUAUCACAUAUAUUACUUGUUGUAUUUGGUAUUUCAGUUAGUAAUUUAGUGAUUAAAAAAGAAUUUUUAAUCUCAUUAAAAGAAUUUGAGUGUUUCCAAAAUUCUGUAAUUGUCACUGACGUAUGAAUAUUCCUAAAACGUGUGAAUCUGUCAUCUGAAAUAACACGGUUUAACCAAUUGUUUAACUGUAUACUAUCGACUGCGCUAUAAACAAUAGACUUCCAAAUUUGUUUUGUUGGAAUGUUCCAUCUUCUAUAUAGUCAAGAAGGUAACUCAUAAGUCCAUACUGUUUUAAAAUGUCAACGAUAUCAGGAAUAAAUCCGUAGUGUUUCCUUUGAGAGUCUAUAAAGAAAGUAAACAAUCUGGUGAGAAAUAUUCUCUUAGAAAGAGAGGAAAUGUCUA